ACAAAGCUCAAAAUCUUAAUUCCAUACAUAUACAUAUACAUGUAAAUCAAUUUAAGGAAAAAGAGACCACAAGGCCAAAACAAUAGUAGCAUUUUAACUUUCAAAAUGCAUAAUCAAUAAUAUAGCUUUCAAAAACCCCAUAAAAUACAUGCUUUAACAAUUUCAAGCCCAUGUAGUUUUUAGGAUAAACCCCGCAUACCUCUAUUUCAGAAAAUAAUGGAUGAUCGUUGAAGCUUGCGGACUGGGGAUUCUGAAUCUCUAAUUAUCUUUUAAAAUUCACGGUUGAAUCUUAAGUAAUUUGUGUUUUUAUUUGGAAACCUUUAGGAGUGUUCUUGAGCAAAUUUGAUGAAUGAGACUCUAUUUUGGCUUUCUAGGGAUUAAAUCCCGUGUUAUUGAGGAUAAGAGGUUGGAGAAAUACCAAAAUACCCUUAAAUUCUUGGAGAAAACUGAAAAUUUGGCCUGGGGCGAUUAGUCAGGCGUCGCCCGCCCUGUAGCACCUAACUGAUUUUUAUUAAUCACCAAGUAAAAUAGUAUAUAAUUUAAAUUAAUUAGCCAAGCAUAACUUAGAUUUUAAAAAAAAUUAUACUGAAAAGUUAUUUUAUAAAAGUGAUUCUCAAGUAAGCAAGUUUCUCAUAGAUUUUUCUUUAAAAAAAAAUUAAAUUUCUGUGUUUGUUUUGUCAAUUGGUAAUUUAAAAAAAAAAUUGUGUUUAUUUUGUCAAUUGGCAAUUUCUGGUUAUUCAAUUUGUAUUGUUAUACUGUAAUUUUGUGGUUAUAUUGGAACAUACCAAGUUAAAUGAUUUAAAAUUUAAAAUAGAAUAACAAAUAUCUACUUUUUAAGAAAGGAUAAAAAAAAAACCAAAAAAACUACUCAUUUCUCUCCACCAAGUAUUCACGGUUUUUCAUAUUUAUGUUUGAAAUUCUUUUUUUUUUUUUUUUGGCCAUUUAUUUUUAAAUUAUUUUUUUGACAACCGAAUUUCUAAAGUUCCUAAUUUCAUGGUAGUUAGGAAGUUCCUAAUUUUGUAAAGUUUCUAAUCAUUUGGGAAAUUAUGUUGGUUUGCAAUUUUUUUUUCCUUUAGCAUGUUAGUUUUGCUAUUUGUAAUUAUUUUUUUUAAUUUAUUAUUUGUCCCUUUGUCUUUUACAUAGAUUUAAAAAAUAAGAUCAAAAUGUUAGUUAUCUAUUAGUAGACUAAUAAAAUAUGGAAAAUUAAAUAGCUAGAGAAAAUUUAAAUAUAAAUAAAAAGAAAUAUAAAAGGCAUUUUAUGUUUACCGAAAUGGUCUUAGGAAUAUUUCGUUGAAAUAAAUAAACUACCGUGCUUAUUAUUGAUUUUUUCAAAUAUUUUCGAUUACUGAUGAAGCUUCACUUUUUUUUAUAUAUAUCAACAUGAUAACUUUAUUUUACACUAAAAUAAGAUUAUCAAAGACACAAAAUAUAAAAAAAAUUAUUUAUUUAUUGUAAAUUUGGCAUACCAUUUAUGAGGUGAGAGUAGGCAGGGAAAGCACAAUAAAGACAAAAAUAGAUGCUAUGCUCCCGUCAAAACUCGUCAGGGAAAAAAUCAUAACUGUUAUAUUAAUAUGAAUAACAAGUAAUUGAAAUGGAAGCUCGCUUCAGGAAUUUUAUGCGAUAAGAAGGUGCUCCUUAAGUUGAAAGGUAAAUUUUAUAGACUUGCAGUCUGGUCGGCUAUGUUAUAUGGAGUGGAGUGUUGGCCGGUUAAGAAUUCUCAUAUCCAGAAGCUAAAGGUGCAUGGCGGAAAUGAGGAUGUUGCAUUGGAUGUGUGGAUUUACUAGGGCUGACAGGGUUAGGAAUGAGAUUACUCGGGAGAAGGUGGACGUGGUGUCGAUGGAGGAUAAAAUGCGGGAAGUGAGGUUGAGAUGGUUUGGUCACGGAUGGCCCAGUUCGUAGGUGUGAGAAGUUGGCCUUGGAUAAUUUCAAACGGGGUAGGAAUAGAUCGAAGAGAUACUGGAGGAAAGUGAUUAAACGUGACUUGGAGCGAUUACGCUCAGCAUUCCAAAGCUUUAGGGACUCAAUUUUGACAUUUACAGAUCACACAAAACAAGCAGUAUGAUGAGUGGAGAAACCCGUGGAUGCAUGAUGUAUGUAAAACAAAAAGACUGAUUUUUUCUCGCCUAAUUACAACUUGGUUUUUUAGGACUUUUCACUUUUUGGUGCACCGUUCAUGUCAUGUCGACACAAAGUGUAGGUGUGAGGUCUGUCUAUAUUGGAUUUGAUCAACUGAUAUUAUGCAAUCUACAUAAGCCAUUAUUAAAUAAUUCUUCAAUAUUCUUGUGCAAGUGAAGGAAUAUUCAUGUGAUGCGUGUGAUUGAUACUCCAGGCCUAUAACAAGAAGAUCUAAAGACAUACUUUUUCUAAAUUUUAUUCUCACUCAUGUUGGUACUAUAUUAGGUUAUCAAGAGUGUUUAUUACAUAUUCUUAUGAGAAAAAUCACUUUGUCAAAAGUGUAUAAGUGUUGAUUACAUUGGGUAUGUUGUUGUCGUUUAUAUAUUUUACUAAAAUUCAUUAAUUUAGAUAUCAUUACUUUUAUUAAUAAACUAGUAUGUGUUCCCACGUGAUGCGCAAAAAGUGUUGGGGAGAAAAAUUCUAAAUAUUGUUAUCUUAUAAUUUGACACAUUGAAUUUUUUAUUAUUUUAUUGAUUGUAAAAUUUAAAAUAUUUGAUUCA